GAGCGCAACUGACGCUGAAGCUCGAAAGUGCGGGUAUCGAACAGGAUUAGAUACCCUGGUAGUCCGCACGGUAAACGAUGGAUGCCCGCUUUUCGGUCAUUAGACCGUGAGGCCAAGUGAAAACAUUAAGCAUCCCACCUGGGGAGUACGCCGGCAACGGUGAAACUCAAAGGAAUUGACGGGGGCCCGCACAAGCGGAGGAACAUGUGGUUUAAUUCGAUGAUACGCGAGGAACCUUACCCGGGCUUGAAUUGCAGAUGAAGGAUCCAGAGAUGGUGACGCCCUUCGGGGCAUCUGUGAAGGUGCUGCAUGGUUGUCGUCAGCUCGUGCCGUGAGGUGUCGGCUCAAGUGCCAUAACGAGCGCAACCCCUCUCUUCAGUUGCCAUCAGGCUAUGCUGGGCACUCUGGAGACACUGCCACCGCAAGGUGUGAGGAAGGUGGGGAUGACGUCAAAUCAGCACGGCCCUUACGUCCGGGGCUACACACGUGUUACAAUGGGGGGUACAGAAAGCCGGCUGCCCGCAAGGUCAGUCCAAUCAAGAAAGCCCUCCUCAGUUCGGACUGGGGUCUGCAACCCGACCCCACGAAGCUGGAUUCGCUA
rnacentral:rRNA from 1 species